UACGUAGGGUGCGAGCGUUAAUCGGAAUUACUGGGCGUAAAGCGUGCGCAGGCGGUUCGCUGUGUCCGAUGUGAAAGCCCCGGGCUUAACCUGGGAAUGGCAUUGGAAACUGGCGGGCUUGAGUGCGGCAGAGGGGGGUGGAAUUCCGCGUGUAGCAGUGAAAUGCGUAGAGAUGCGGAGGAACACCGAUGGCGAAGGCGGCCCCCUGGGUCGACACUGACGCUCAGGCACGAAAGCUAGGGGAGCGAAAGGG
rnacentral:rRNA from 1 species